GCUCCGGUUUCCACUCCAAUCCCAAGUACGGCCCCUCAGGCUCCAGGCUCCACUCCAGUCCCCGUUACUGCCCCCAAGGCUCCGGUCUCCCCUCCGGUCCCCAUUAUGGCCCCUAAGGCUCCGGUCUUCACUCCUAUCUCUCGUCCGGCCCCAAAAAAGGUUGAGCAGAAGCCUCAAGAGCCCAAGAAGAAGGUCACAGGUAGCAAGCCAGCCCCUGCGAAGAAGAUCUAAAAGAACAUGGAAGGGUAGUGAUCAAUUUAGCGCGUGAUGUAAUAGAUUCUAUGGAUGUUUAAUUCCCUCUGUGUGUAAGAGGGAUGAAAAUCCUGAAAAUAGCGCAUGAUAUAAUAUCUUUGUACCCUUUGUUUCUUGCUUGGCCUAACUAAAUAAAAUGUGCGAAUUUAAAGGA